UAGUAUUCAAAAUAUCGAAAC
ensembl:piRNA 21ur-13540 ncRNA